rnacentral:rRNA from 1 species
UACGUAGGGUGCGAGCGUUGUCCGGAAUUAUUGGGCGUAAAGAGCUCGUAGGCGGUGUGUCACGUCGAUCGUGAAAACUUACAGCUUAACUGUGAGCGUGCGGUCGAUACGGGCAUCACUGGAGUUCGGCAGGGGAGACUGGAAUUCCUGGUGUAGCGGUGAAAUGCGCAGAUAUCAGGAGGAACACCGAUGGCGAAGGCAGGUCUCUGGGCCACUACUGACGCUGAGGAGCGAAAGCGUGGGGAGCGAACAGG